rnacentral:misc_RNA from 1 species
GGAAAAGAGACAAUAAACUUGGAAUGCCACUUAACUCGAUCUGUUUUUUCCAAACAUUUUCUACUAUUUUCAUAAUUUCAUGUAUCCUAAGUAUGCCCUUCUGGAAAAAGGGAAAAAUGAUGGCAACAGCUGAAACUCAAUGUACCAACACCAAAAACUACACAGUUAAGAAACAAUUUGUUCAGGAUCUUCGUCCUGCCAAUCCUUUCGUCAAGGUGAGAGCUCUCUUCCCACCAUGGCUGAUGCCCCUCGAAAUUUACUUCUUUAAUGGAACCCCAACAUUUCAAAGAGAAGCUAAAGCCUCACCUUGUAAAGGUACACCUCAUGAAUCUUUUCGUCCAAGAUUUACAAGUUCAUCCUUACGCCUUUCUGCGAGGAAAGUGGCUGACUACUACAAAUCUGAAAUAUAACUACAGGUUGCUUCCACGUUCACUACCGGAAAAGCCUUGGCACUGAU